rnacentral:rRNA from 1 species
AUUCUAGAGCUAAUACAUGCUGUAAAGCCCGACUUUUCGGAAGGGCCGUAUUUAUUAGAUAACAGACCAAUAUUCCUCGUGUCUAUUGUGGUGAAUCAUAGUAACUAAUCGGAUCGCAUGGGCUAGUCCCGCGACAAACCAUUCAAGUUUCUGCCCCAUCAGCUUUCGAUGGUAGUGUAUUGGACUACCAUGGCUUUUACGGGUAACGGAGGAUUAGGGUUCGAUUCCGGAGAGGGAGCCUGAGAAACGGCUACCACAUCUAAGGAAGGCAGCAGGCGCGUAAAUUACCCAAUUCUGAUUCAGAGAGGUAGUG